rnacentral:tRNA from 1 species
AGGUCUUAUAGUCUAGUGGUUAGGACAGCGGUUUUUGAAACUACCCUGUUUGGGAAUCAAAAUUUACCGUUAGCCCCGGUUCGAACCCGGGUAAGACCUU